CUCAGCACUAAUGAGGGAGAGAUAGAAGAUCUGGAGGAGGAGCAGAGAAGCUGGGAAUCUUGGUGGGCUUCGUGGUGCAUUGUGGGUGCCUCAUGGCUGCUCCACUCUGCUAGUUGCCAUUUGACUCUAGAGAAGAGGAUCAGUAAAGACUCCUAAGAUUUCCUGGAACAAUCCUCUUUCCCUUCCUGGUUUUCUGUCCAAGAACCAUCUGCAGAAGAGUGGGUCAGACAGUGAGAAGCACCGGACGAAAAAGAUCUCAGCAUUUGAAUCUGCAGCAACUAAUCCAGAAGAAACACAGGAAAUAUCUUCUAAGAACUCGAAACAAUGUCAGUAUGAUUAGGAAAGUAUUUAAAAUUAUUCUGUUCACUUCAGAAAGAAGUGACUAUUAAGUUAUAAGUCAUGAAUUACUGGAAUAGGAAAAGUAGAUUGAGUCAUCUACACUGUGGAGAAGACUGGAAAAGAAAUUGAGCUGCCCAUAAGCUGAAAAUUAUUUAUUCAACUCAAUAAACAAUGAUGAGCAAUCA
rnacentral:lncRNA from 1 species